UUGCUCUCCUUGGAGGAUAAGCUGAGGGUGGACGAAGAGCUCCAAAGAAAAACGGUUUAGAAUUUGACAUUCUUAUUUGCAGCUGAACUGUUCUGUGUGUAUGCAUAGGAUUUGACAAUUCCAUUUAAAUUAAAUUCAGAUUAAAUACCUUUCUACAAUUGGAGGACCAAACUAUGGAGAGACAGUGCGGCGAAUCAUGAGAAAAAUCACUUCCUCAGAAGUUUGGUCACAGUUUAGCCUCAAAGGAAGGAAGGGGAAGAGGAGACUUGAAGAACUCUCUGUUUAUCGAGUUCUAAUAAGGGCAAUAAUGAAAUCACAACCUGGGUCUACUAGCAUGGAUGCUGAAAGCCAGAUUGCAGAGACCCUUAAACAUGCACCAGGUCUGGUUAGGAGAAAGGCUAAUCGAUCAGUUGCCCCACAUUUACAAGAUGGUUCAUUGGACCUCAUCUUUUUCUUUCAUAUCUGUACUAUCCUGUUAUAAUAAGGACCUAAAAUAA